UUACAACCGCACAAACAAAGGUUUAAAGUAUGGAAACAUCACCUUGCUUGGCGAGUCUUAAAA
rnacentral:sRNA from 1 species